AACGAACGCUGGCGGCAUGCCUAACACAUGCAAGUCGAACGAGACCUUCGGGUCUAGUGGCGCACGGGUGCGUAACGCGUGGGAACCUGCCCUUAGGUUCGGAAUAACUCCCCGAAAGGGGUGCUAAUACCGGAUAAUGUCUUCGGACCAAAGAUUUAUCGCCUUUGGAUGGGCCCGCGUUGGAUUAGCUAGUUGGUAGGGUAAAAGCCUACCAAGGCGACGAUCCAUAGCUGGUCUGAGAGGAUGAUCAGCCACACUGGGACUGAGACACGGCCCAGACUCCUAGGGGAGGCAGCAGGGGGGAAUAUUGGAAAAUGGGCGAAAGCCGGAUCCAGAAAUGCCGGGUGAGUGAUGAAGGCCUUAGGGUUGUAAAGCUCUUUUACCCGGGAUGAUAAGGACAGUACCGGGAGAAUAAGCCCCGGCUAACUCCGU
rnacentral:rRNA from 1 species